rnacentral:lncRNA from 1 species
AUGAGGGCGAGUGUUACAGUAGCUCCACCGGCGCCACAAACAUCGGUGGCUGACGGCAGCUUUGAUCUACGUGAUGGAGUCGUGGGCCAAGCUGAGCGGUUCCGGGCCGGCUGUUUGGCCCGUCGGCCCCGUCGUGGACUUCCUCCACCUCUUCGAUCUCGCCACAAUCGAACCCCGCGCUCGUCUCCAGCCCGUUUCCAACUGUCAUCGGCCCUGUUGCUCCUCCAGACGAGUCUGGAACCCGUCCACCUGAAAGCCACAUACUUGGGAUUAUCCACAGGGCGACAGCGCUCUGCGUCUGGCUCACGGCACCAAUUCAUCCCAGUUACUGUAUCUCACAGUCGGCCAACAGGGUUCAGUACAAGUUGUUUGAUUGUCAAGCUCCCAGUUUGCAUCAAGGGCAGCGGAGGAGAGAAGCAGCAGGGAGGACGCGCUGCCGCGCUCCGAUCCGCGGCAGACGACUGA